AUAAAGAAAAUAGAUUCCAUGGAAUCAAUGAAUUGAUUUGCUUUACUAAAGAGAGAUCUUGACUGAUUGAAAUUUAACUGUUAAAUUAGAGUUUUUUUGUUAUGUAAAAUGAACUGUGUGAGGAAUCUAAACACUUAUUUUUUUGUUCUUUCUUUGUCGUUGAUAGAAGAAUAUUUCAGUCCUGAUAUUUGCUGUAACUAAUAAUUACUGGAUAAACAGAGAAGACACAUGGAGGAUAUUUUACCUGGGUCCAACAAAAGCAUAGCAACAGCAGCAAGUUGAAAAGAGCAAAAAAAAAAAAAAGAGAGAGACCGAAGUACAAUUACAAUCCCAUCCCACAAAAAGGUCAAGGGCUACCUGAAAGACCGGUGGCCCCAGGAUCCUCAAAGCAUCCAAACCAUCCCUAUACUCUCAGGUAAAGAAAUAAAAGCCAAAGUGAUAACUUAAAAAUGAAGCUGCCACCCACAGGGGAUGAGGACUUGGAUGGAGCCCAGCAUCAACAAGGCGGAUCACUUGAGCCUGGGAGUUUGAGGCUGCAGUGAGCCAUGAUUGUGUCACUGCACUUCAGCCUGGGAACAGAGCAAGACCCUGUCUCAAAACAAACAAACAAAAACAAAAGAGUCCAAUAACCUUCAUGGACACACAACCAUUCUUAAUAAAAUGUUAGCCAAUCAAG
rnacentral:lncRNA from 1 species